rnacentral:ncRNA from 1 species
ACACAACUCUGGAGAGUCCCUUAAAUGGGCGCCGAAGGUGCACGGAUGGCAACAUCCUUAUCUCUCAGGCCAGUGGACAGAGAA